UGGGGAAUUUUGGACAAUGGGGGCAACCCUGAUCCAGCAAUGCCGCGUGUGUGAAGAAGGCCUUCGGGUUGUAAAGCACUUUUGUCCGGGAAGAAAUCCCUGCCCUAAUACGCGGGGGAUACGGUACCGGAAGAAUAAGCACCGGCUAACUACGUGCCAGCAGCCGCGGUAAUACGUAGGGUGCGNGCGUUAAUCGGAAUUACUGGGCGUAAAGCGUGCGCAGGCGGUGAUGUAAGACCGAUGUGAAAUCCCCGGGCUCAACCUGGGAACUGCAUUGGUGACUGCAUUGCUCGAGUAUGGCAGAGGGGGGUGGAAUUCCACGUGUAGCAGUGAAAUGCGUAGAGAUGUGGAGGAACACCGAUGGCGAAGGCAGCCCCCU
rnacentral:rRNA from 1 species